CCUACGGGAGGCAGCAGUGAGGAAUAUUGGUCAAUGGACGCAAGUCUGAACCAGCCAUGCCGCGUGCAGGAAGACGGCUCUCUGAGUUGUAAACUGCUUUUGUACGAGGGUAAACGCAGAUACGCGUAUCUGUCUGCAAGUAUCGUACGAAUAAGGAUCGGCUAAAUCCGUGCCAGCAGCCGCGGUAAUACGGAGGAUUCAAGCGUUAUCCGGAUUUAUUGGGUUUAAGGGGUGCGUAGGCGGUCGGAGAAGUUAGAGGUGAAGUCCCGAGGCUCAACUUCGGAAUUGCCUCUGAUACUGGUCGGCUAGAGAGUAGUAGCGGUAGGCGGAAUGCAGGGUGUAGCGGUGAAAUGCUUAGAUAUCAGACAGAACACCGAUGGCGAAGGCAGCUUACCAAGCUACUUCUGACGUUGAGGCACGAAAGCGUGGGGAGCAAACAGGAUUAGAUACCCUAGUAGUC
rnacentral:rRNA from 1 species